GCAAGUCGAGCGGUAACAUUUCAAAAGCUUGCUUUUGAAGAUGACGAGGGGCGGACGGGUGAGUAAUGCCCGGGAAUUUGCCCAUUUGUGGGGGAUAACAGUUGGAAACGACUGCUAAUACCGCAUACGACCUACGGGGGAAAGCAGGGGACCUUAGGGCCUUGUGCUGUUGGAUAAGCCCAGGUAGGAUUAGCUAGUAGGUGAGGUAAAGGCUCACCUAGGCGACGAUCCCUAGCUGGUCUGAGAGGAUGAUC
rnacentral:rRNA from 1 species